rnacentral:rRNA from 1 species
UACGGAGGGGGCUAGCGUUGUUCGGAAUUACUGGGCGUAAAGCGCUUGUAGGCGGUCCACCAAGUUUGGGGUGACAGUUGCCGACUUAAUCGGCAAAGUGCCUCAAAGACUGGCGGACUUGAGGGCCACAGAGGGACAUGGAACUCCAGGUGUAGUGGUGAAAUGCGUAGAGAUCCGGAAGAACACCAGUGGCGAAGGCGGCCCGCUGGGCAGUGGCUGACGCUGAGGCGCGACAGCGUGGGGAGCAAACAGG